UACAGAGGGGGCAAGCGUUGUUCGGAAUUACUGGGCGUAAAGGGCGCGUAGGCGGCCUGCUAAGUCGAACGUGAAAUCCCCGGGCUCAACCCGGGAACUGCGUCCGAUACUGGCAGGCUUGAAUCCGGGAGAGGGAUGUGGAAUUCCAGGUGUAGCGGUGAAAUGCGUAGAUAUCUGGAGGAACACCGGUGGCGAAGGCGGCCCCCUGGGCCGCUCCUGACGCUGAGACGCGAAGGCCAGGGUAGCGAACGGG
rnacentral:rRNA from 1 species